rnacentral:rRNA from 1 species
AGAGUUUGAUCCUGGCUCAGAUUGAACGCUGGCGGCAUGCUUUACACAUGCAAGUCGAACGGUAACAGGCCGCAAGGUGCUGACGAGUGGCGAACGGGUGAGUAAUGCAUCGGAACGUGCCCGGUCGUGGGGGAUAACACUUCGAAAGAAGUGCUAAUACCGCAUACGAUCUAUGGAUGAAAGCGGGGGACCGUAAGGCCUCGCGCGAUCGGAGCGGCCGAUGUCAGAUUAGGUAGUUGGUGGGUAAAGGCUCGCCAAGCCAACGAUCUGUAGCUGGUCUGAGAGGACGACCAGCCACACUGGGACUGAGACACGGCCCAGACUCCUACGGGAGGCAGCAGUGGGGAAUUUUGGACAAUGGGCGCAAGCCUGAUCCAGCAAUGCCGCGUGCAGGAAGAAGGCCUUCGGGUUGUAAACUGCUUUUGUACGGAACGAAAAGGUCCUGGCUAAUACCCGGGGCUGAUGACGGUACCGUAAGAAUAAGCACCGGCUAACUACGUGCCAGCAACCGCGGUAAUACGUAGGGUGCAAGCGUUAAUCGGAAUUACUGGGCGUAAAGCGUGCGCAGGCGGUCUUGUAAGACAGGCGUGAAAUCCCCGGGCUCAACCUGGGAAUUGUGCUUGUGACUGCAAGGCUGGAGUGCGGCAGAGGGGGAUGGAAUUCCGCGUGUAGCAGUGAAAUGCGUANAUAUGCGGAGGAACACCGAUGGCGAAGGCAAUCCCCUGGGCCUGCACUGACGCUCAUGCACGAAAGCGUGGGGAGCAAACAGGAUUANAUACCCUGGUAGUCCACGCCCUAAACNAUGUCAACUGGUUGUUGGGUCUCUUCUGACU